UACGUAGGGGGCUAGCGUUGCUCGGAAUUAUUGGGCGUAAAGCGCGCGUAGGCGGUUACUUAAGUCGGAUGUGAAAGCCCUCGGCUUAACUGAGGAAGUGCACCCGAAACUGAGUAGCUAGAGUACGAAAGAGGGUCGCGGAAUUCCCGGUGUAGAGGUGAAAUUCGUAGAUAUCGGGAGGAACACCGGUGGCGAAGGCGGCGACCUGGGUCGAGACUGACGCUGAGGCGCGAAAGCGUGGGGAGCAAACAGG
rnacentral:rRNA from 1 species